GACGAACGCUGGCGGCGUGCUUAACACAUGCAAGUCGAACGGAAAGGCCCUGCUUUUGUGGGGUGCUCGAGUGGCGAACGGGUGAGUAACACGUGAGUAACCUGCCCUUGACUUUGGGAUAACUUCAGGAAACUGGGGCUAAUACCGGAUAGGAGCUCCUGCUGCAUGGUGGGGGUUGGAAAGUUUCGGCGGUUGGGGAUGGACUCGCGGCUUAUCAGCUUGUUGGUGGGGUAGUGGCUUACCAAGGCUUUGACGGGUAGCCGGCCUGAGAGGGUGACCGGCCACAAUGGGACUGAGAUACGGCCCAGACUCCUACGGGAGGCAGCAGGGGGGAAUAUUGCACAGUGGGCGGGAGCCUGAUGCGGCGGCGCCGCGUGCGGGAUGACGGCCUUCGGGUUGUAAACCGCUUUCGCCGUUGACGAAGCGUGAGUGACGGUAAUGGGUAAGGAAGCACCGGCUAACUACGUG
rnacentral:rRNA from 1 species